rnacentral:rRNA from 1 species
UUAAGUUAAUAAGGGCGCACGGUGGAUGCCUUGGCACUAGAAGCCGAUGAAGGACGUGACUAACGACGAAAUGCUUUGGGGAGCUGUAAGUGAGCAAUGAUCCAGAGAUGUCCGAAUGGGGGAACCCGGCAUGUAAUGCAUGUCACUCAUUACUGUUAAGGUAAUGAAGAGGAAGACGCAGUGAACUGAAACAUCUAAGUAGCUGCAGGAAGAGAAAGCAAACGCGAUUGCCUUAGUAGCGGCGAGCGAAAUGGCAAGAGGGCAAACCGAUGUGUUUACACAUCGGGGUUGUAGGACUGCGACGUGGGACGACAAGAUUAUAGAAGAAUUACCUGGGAAGGUAAGCCAAAGAGAGUAACAGCCUCGUAUUCGAAAUAGUCUUUAACCCUAGCAGUAUCCUGAGUACGGCGAGACACGAGAAAUCUCGUCGGAAUCUGGGAGGACCAUCUCCUAACCCUAAAUACUCUCUAGUGACCGAUAGUGAACCAGUACCGUGAGGGAAAGGUGAAAAGCACCCCGGGAGGGGAGUGAAAUAGAACCUGAAACCGUGUGCCUACAACAAGUUCGAGCCCGUUAAUGGGUGAGAGCGUGCCUUUUGUAGAAUGAACCGGCGAGUUACGAUAUGAUGCGAGGUUAAGUUGAAGAGACGGAGCCGUAGGGAAACCGAGUCUUAAUAGGGCGCAUUAGUAUCAUGUCGUAGACCCGAAACCAUGUGACCUACCCAUGAGCAGGGUGAAGGUGAGGUAAAACUCACUGGAGGCCCGAACCAGGGCACGUUGAAAAGUGCUUGGAUGACUUGUGGGUAGCGGAGAAAUUCCAAACGAACUUGGAGAUAGCUGGUUCUCUCCGAAAUAGCUUUAGGGCUAGCGUCGAUGUUAAGUCUCUUGGAGGUAGAGCACUGUUUGAUUGAGGGGUCCAUCCCGGAUUACCAAUAUCAGAUAAACUCCGAAUGCCAAUGAGAUAUAAUCGGCAGUCAGACUGCGAGUGCUAAGAUCCGUAGUCGAAAGGGAAACAGCCCAGACCACCAGCUAAGGUCCCAAAAUAUAUGUUAAGUGGAAAAGGAUGUGGGGUUGCACAGACAACUAGGAUGUUAGCUUAGAAGCAGCUAUUCAUUCAAAGAGUGCGUAAUAGCUCACUAGUCGAGUGACCCUGCGCCGAAAAUGUACCGGGGCUAAAACAUAUUACCGAAGCUGUGGAUACCUUUAUAGGUAUGGUAGGAGAGCGUUCUAUGUGUGAAGAAGGUGUACCGUGAGGAGCGCUGGAACGCAUAGAAGUGAGAAUGCCGGUAUGAGUAGCGAAAGACAGGUGAGAAUCCUGUCCACCGUAUGACUAAGGUUUCCAGGGGAAGGCUCGUCCUCCCUGGGUUAGUCGGGACCUAAGGAGAGACCGAAAGGUGUAUCCGAUGGACAACAGGUUGAUAUUCCUGUACUAGAGUAUAUAGUGAUGGAGGGACGCAGUAGGCUAACUAAAGCGUGCGAUUGGAAGUGCACGUCUAAGCAGUGAGGUGUGAUAUGAGUCAAAUACUUAUAUCUUUAACAUUGAGCUGUGAUGGGGAGCGAAGUUAAGUAGCGAAGUUAGUGAUGUCACACUGCCAAGAAAAGCUUCUAGCGUUAAUUAUACUCUACCCGUACCGCAAACCGACACAGGUAGUCGAGGCGAGUAGCCUCAGGUGAGCGAGAGAACUCUCGUUAAGGAACUCGGCAAAAUGGCCCCGUAACUUCGGGAGAAGGGGCGCUGGCUUUAAGUCAGCCGCAGUGAAUAGGCCCAAGCAACUGUUUAUCAAAAACACAGCUCUCUGCUAAAUCGUAAGAUGAUGUAUAGGGGGUGACGCCUGCCCGGUGCUGGAAGGUUAAGAGGAGCGCUUAGCAUUAGCGAAGGUGUGAAUUGAAGCCCCAGUAAACGGCGGCCGUAACUAUAACGGUCCUAAGGUAGCGAAAUUCCUUGUCGGGUAAGUUCCGACCCGCACGAAAGGCGUAAUGAUUUGGGCACUGUCUCAACGAGAGACUCGGUGAAAUUUUAGUACCUGUGAAGAUGCAGGUUACCCGCGACAGGACGGAAAGACCCCAUGGAGCUUUACUGCAGUUUGAUAUUGAGUAUCUGUACCACAUGUACAGGAUAGGUAGGAGCCUAUGAAAUCGGGACGCUAGUUUCGGUGGAGGCGUUGUUGGGAUACUACCCUUGUGUUAUGGCUACUCUAACCUAGAUAGGUUAUCCCUAUCGGAGACAGUGUCUGACGGGCAGUUUGACUGGGGCGGUCGCCUCCUAAAAGGUAACGGAGGCGCCCAAAGGUUCCCUCAGAAUGGUUGGAAAUCAUUCGCAGAGUGUAAAGGUAUAAGGG